UUCGCCCUUAGAGUUUGAUCCUGGCUCAGAGCGAACGCUGGCGGCAGGCUUAACACAUGCAAGUCGAACGCUCACCUUCGGGUGGGAGUGGCAGACGGGUGAGUAACACGUGGGAACGUGCCCUUCGGUUCGGAAUAACCCUGGGAAACUAGGGCUAAUACCGGAUACGUCCGAGAGGAGAAAGGUUUACUGCCGAAGGAUCGGCCCGCGUCUGAUUAGCUAGUUGGUGGGGUAACGGCCUACCAAGGCGACGAUCAGUAGCUGGUCUGAGAGGAUGAUCAGCCACACUGGGACUGAGACACGGCCCAGACUCCUACGGGAGGCAGCAGAAGGG
rnacentral:rRNA from 1 species